GUGUUGCUGUCGCUUCUCAGAGAUGAUAAAUGUCUUUUAUAUUUAUAAUGUCUACUCUAGGAGCAUGCAAAUAACAGAGAACAAGCGAAAAGCGUUCUCCUAAACUAAACCCACGCGAUGUCGCCAGAGAGAUUCACACACGGGUUUCCUUUAGAUGAUGUCACUUCUAACACUCGCUGACGAGGUUUGCGUUCACGUCUGUUUAUAGCAACCGCGAGUGUAGUCUGGAGUAGAGCUACAAGAAAUCCGUUAAGUCUGGUCUACUGUAUCAACCGUGGAUUCAGUUCAUAUAAACCAGAAAACUUGCAGUUUGAAUGAACGUAGUUUGUGUUUGUGUCAGUGAGUUUGUGUUUAUACUGAGGUCAGAUGGGGAAGGUGAGGAAACUCCAAAAGAAGAACAAAUUGAAAACUUGGAGAUCAAAAUUUCCCUUAAGUCCUAGGAAAAAAUAAAGUUACAGAAUUAUCCUCCUCUUAUUUACUAAGGUGAAAUAUUUGUUCCUACUGCACUUAGAACAGAGCAGAAUUUCUGCACAUUGAAUCUCAAAUAGAGAGCAAAUAUGUUCAGCACAGAUGAAUAACUCAUGUAAUCAGAUAAACCCUAAAUUAGUUUAGUUCUUUUAUUAAUAUCACACAUCUUUGACUCUUUGUAGGUCUCAAAGAAGGCGGAGCUUCGCUCCAGAUUGGCUGAGAUUCUGCUGCAGCAUUCUGGCCCCCAGCAAACUCAAGGGAUUGUGGGAAAGGAGGAGGAUAAAAUGAAAAGACAAGUGUAAGAAUGAGUGACUAGGUGGGGAAGGAGAGAGCGAGAUGAACGGGGCGUGUGAAAUUAAACUCUAGUCCUCUGCUCUCUGGAGUCUGGGCAGUGUUGAUUCAUCAUAUUUCUUUAAAAACUCUGUUCUUGAACUUCCACAUCCGGGCUUUCUGUCAGGCACAUUGUUAUUUAAUAAUGUACUUGUUACAACUAAGGUAUAUAAAGACAAGCAGCAUUUGGUUAAUAAAGGGGUCAUAUGACGCUAUUUUAAAGAUCAUUAUUUUGUGUAACAGAAUAUGUUGACGUGCUUUAAUGUUCAAAAAACACAUUAUUUUUUAAAUACUGUACAUUAUUUUAUGUCCUAUAUGCCCCGCCGCUCUCAAACACACACAAAGUCCCUCCUUCUGACAUGCACAGUCUGCUGUGAUUGGCCAACUGAACCAGUGCAUUGUGAUUGGCCGAACACAUUAAGCACCCGUCAGAAAUGUAACGCCCCUUUCCAUAAUCAUGAGUUUCAUAUUUCAAAAUAAAUGUAAAGAUAGUUAAUAUUGUCCUUAGUUUUACCAUCAGUUCAAGCCCGAGAAAGGAACAGAGUGGCAUUGCCAGACACACUGAUGAAGCUCGUAUGUGUUUGCAGUUCACGAGUCAUGGACGAUUAAGACAGCUGACUCCACUGUGUGACCCUGUCUCUCUCUCUCUCACUCUCUCUCUCUCUCUCUCUCUCUCUCUCUCUCUCACACACACACAUGCGCGCGACACACACAAAACUCCGGAUUUGAACAUUUAAUAGCAAACUUACUUAAUAAAAACUUAUAACAAAACUUAAACUUAUAACAAAACAUAGUUACAGUAGCUGAUUCAGAAGAGCCAGAUUGUCGUGGCAAAGUCAGAAUUACCUCCUCUCCUAGGUUCACGAAACGGGUGUUCAUAAAAUGCAUUGCUGUUCUGUUGUAAGUAAUCUUAAAGAUUCCUAAAUGCAUCUACUUUCAGAAGGCCAAAUAAAGUGCUUUUUCUUUUGCCUGGAUACACACAGGAUAUCUGACAUGGCUGCUUCAACACUAACUGUGCUACUGAAACCACACUUUCUUUGCGUGAGCAUUUGGGAGGUAUUACGAAAAUUUUUCACACAGUGACAUAGACGUGGGGGCGUGUUUAAAUGAGGCUUUUUAUGGGGGCGUGGCAGAGUCUUAACUUUUAUAAGGAAUAUCUCUUUGGAUUUGAGACUUUAGUCUUUGCAACUUGACAGAUCUUCAUGCACCAAGAGCUUGUAACACUCCAAAGAGAAAGGAAAAAUUAAAAUCCCAUCAUAUGACCCCUUUACCUAUGGACAGGCGUGAGAGUAAUUGACUGACCAUGAUAUUUUUGUGCUUCUUGAUGUUUAGUUUUCAUGAUAGCGAGAAGGUCACAGAGCAACAUGUUGCCCGUCCUCCUGCGCUGAAGAUUGCGCGAGAGGAGAGAUGAGAGAAUGAAAGAAGUGAUGGAAGCCAGACAGAUGGCAGAGGAGAAACGCAUUUCCCCGUCAGCUCCAGUGUAGAAGAACAAGAAGGUCAAAUUAGUGCACUAAUCACACACACUAUUACAGUUACUCGCACAGAUGUUGAUUACAAGCCUGCUUGUCUUUCACAGGAAGUUCUGCCUUAUGGCUGUCUCAUGCGAUGAUAAAACAUAUGAUGCUGAGUUCAAAUCUCGCAAACAAACUUGGGAAAAGGCCAAGUUUCCUCUCAGGUCUCAGGAGGGUCAUAGUGACAUCACCACUUGUGUGGUUGCUGUCGACAAUCUUCUGAGUUCUGGCAGUCGAGAUACAACAGUUAAAGUGUGGCAUGUUCCCACGGCAACGGAGCAGUGCAAUUUGGGAGGUCACAGUGGUGGAGUCACCUGUCUCAGUGCACCACCUCCAGAGUACUGCAGGAGAUUGGGUCAGUGCGUCAAAUCCAUCUACACAUUGAAUGCAGUCUCAAGCCUGUGCUUCAUUCCUGAAGGAGAAGGCUUCAUUGUUACUGGUUCAGACGCUGGGAAGCUGCAGGUUUGGAGCUGGCGCUCGCAGGAGAACUGUCAGUCAGUGAACGCACACCUGGACGCAGUCACCACACUACAGUCCCAGGGUCCUCUGCUGUUCAACGGCUCUGCAGAGGGAUGUGUGUGUGUGUGGGAGGUGUCCGAUGAAGGGCCGGAGCCCCUCCACAGGUUACACAUCUGGGGGCCAGAAGUCACAGGGUGUAGUGGGGGUGACGGGAGGCUGAUUCUGAGCCCCCGCGGUGACCGCGUGUUCCUCUCGUGUAGAAAGGCCAGCAUACGAAUCCUAAAUUGGACAACGGGCAUGAUGACCAGACCAACCAAUCACAGCAGCACUGCUGGUGUCACAGUUUGUGUCAAUCAAAUACCCGGCCUUUUGAUUGGCUCUUGUUUUGACAUCACUAAUGGAGAGAGCACUAUUGUUCUCUCUUCCCCAGUGCAAAUACCUGGUUUCGCUCACCUCUUCACAUCUUCCCAGGAUUCUUUGUUUUGCUGCAUGGCUAACAGCAAGCGGGGACCAUGGUUGGGUCACAGGGGGUCGUGACCUCAUUGUUUUGGGAGCAGCUUCCUGGAAGUUUCAAAAAGAGAGGCGAUGUCACAGUGAGACGAGACAGCCGACUGGAAGAUUGUCUUCUUGAAUCCGACACAGACUCCGAUGAUGAAUAAAGUGAGGUGGACGAUGAUGAAGUCUCCAUACCCCAGGAUGCAUCUGAAACAGAGGAACCCACAAGUUCUUCAUGGAUGUGUUGUGUUCUUCAUUGAGCGAGAGGAGGGGUAAAUGAAAAAUGAGAGUGAGGGAAAGGAGACUGAAGGAGGGUUAAAGGAAGAGAAAGUGAAGGCAAUGUCAAGGGGCGACGAUGGAGUGCAAGAAAUCACAUGAGGGGACUGAAGUGGAACAGAUUGACUGACUUGCAGAAGGGAAGAAACAGAAGGAGGAGAGAAACAACAGACUGUUUUUAUGUAAACGUUGAUCCAAUAAAACCUACCAUGUUAU